rnacentral:rRNA from 1 species
AGUGAACGCUGGCGGUAGGCCUAACACAUGCAAGUCGAACGGCAGCACAGUAAGAGCUUGCCCUUACGGGUGGCGAGUGGCGGACGGGUGAGGAAUACAUCGGAAUCUACUUUUUCGUGGGGGAUAACGUAGGGAAACUUACGCUAAUACCGCAUACGACCUACGGGUGAAAGCAGGGGAUCUUCGGACCUUGCGCGAUUGAAUGAGCCGAUGUCGGAUUAGCUAGUCGGCGGGGUAAAGGCCCACCAAGGCGACGAUCCGUAGCUGGUCUGAGAGGAUGAUCAGCCACACUGGAACUGAGACACGGUCCAGACUCCUACGGGAGGCAGCAGUGGGGAAUAUUGGACAAUGGGCGCAAGCCUGAUCCAGCCAUACCGCGUGGGUGAAGAAGGCCUUCGGGUUGUAAAGCCCUUUUGUUAGGAAAGAAAAGCAGCGGGUUAAUACCCCGCUGUUCUGACGGUACCCAAAGAAUAAGCACCGGCUAACUUCGUG